UACAGAGGGUGCGAGCGUUAAUCGGAAUUACUGGGCGUAAAGCGUGCGUAGGCGGUUAUCUAAGUCGGAUGUGAAAGCCCCGGGCUCAACCUGGGAAUUGCAUUCGAGACUGAAUAGCUAGGGUGCGGUAGAGGGAAGCGGAAUUUCCGGUGUAGCGGUGAAAUGCGUAGAUAUCUGGAGGAACACCGGUGGCGAAGGCGGCAUCCUGGACCAACACUGACACUGAGGAGCGAAAGCCAGGGGAGCAAACGGG
rnacentral:rRNA from 1 species